GGUCCUAUAGCUCAGUCGGUAGAGCGUCAGUCUAAUAAGCUGAAAGUCCGUGGUUCGAACCCGCGUAGGACCU